rnacentral:rRNA from 1 species
UGGGGAAUAUUUCACAAUGGGGGAAACCCUGAUGCAGCGACGCCGCGUGAGCGAAGAAGGUUUUCGAAUCGUAAAGCUCUUUCCUAUGAGAAGAUAAUGACGGUAUCAUAGGAGGAAGCCCCGGCUCAAUACGUGCCAGCAGCCGCGGUAAUACGUAUGGGGCGAGCGUUGUCCGGAAUUAUUGGGCGUAAAGGGUACGUAGGCGGUCUAUUAAGUCAGGUGUGAAAGCGUGAGGCUUAACCUCAUUAAGCACUUGAAACUGAUAGACUUGAGUGAAGGAGAGGAAAGGGGAAUUCCUAGUGUGGCGGUGAAAUGCGUAGAUAUUAGGAGGAAUACCGGUGGCGAAGGCAACUUUCUGGACUUUUACUGACGCUCAGGUACGAAAGCAUGGGGAGCAAACAGG